AAAGAGUCGACUCAUGAAUGUGAUGCUUAAUCAGACACAGCAUUUUUUUCAGACUUAAGAAGCCAGGCUGCUUUAAUGAAUAGCACAAAGUUGGGUGUUCAUAGUUGUGUGAGGUCUAAAGCAGAUGUUCCAAAUUAAUUUCAAAGUACGCACAGCCCUAAUCUUUAGUCUGAUUGUCACUAGUAGUGACCUUUCCAGAAUGGUGAUGCAUCAAAAUGAGACAAUUUUCUCACAGUUUUUUAAUGACCAUCCUGAGGUAAUCUGUUAUGGAUAAUUUUAUUACAGGAAUGAUCCAGGUAUCAGAAGAGCACUUUGUGUUGCCUUUAUACAUGUAGUGGUAUUUGAACUGAAGCUAAUUCCUGCUAAUUUAGUCACUAAAAGUAAUAAAGAUCAAUAUUUCAAUUAUUAGAUGGUUAGAUCUUUGGGUAUGCUUUGAAUGCUUUGCUUUUGGCUGAGACUGACUUUCUCUAUUUUAUGCCAAAUGUACAAUGGACAAGAUAAAUUAUUGUCUAGCCCCUAAUAGUAACUAAGAAAGUUAGACUCCCAUAAAGUAUUAUGUUUAAUGUGAGGAAAAAGACAUAAGAUUACAGAAUCAUGGAAACUUGUAAAGCUUACUUCCACAGUGAGCAUGUGGUGGGGCUCUUUGAGGCUGUUGAACUUCUUUUCAGAUAUCUCUCUCUCUCUCUUGAUUGAAUAGGAACUACCUAACUGUUUAGGGAAUAGAAUGGAAUGUCCUUGCUUUUCUUCUGCAAUGUCCCUUCUUGUUCCCAGAAUAUUCCAUUACAUCCAAUCAAUUCUCAGAAAUAAAUAUAUUAACUUGUCUAAAGGAAAUGGCUAUGUGGGUGUUGAGUAGGGAAUGAAUAUGCUAUGCACAGAAGACAAACAAAAAUAUUCCAUGCAAGCCUAAAUCAACCAAGCCUACUUCCCCCACUCUACAUAGCGAAACAACUGUUCAAUCUCGAGGAAUACAGCUUUUCUUUGAACACUUUGGAACAGGUUUUCCUAGAACUUUGCAAAGAGCAAGAGCGAGAUUAUUUUGAUUUGGCUCCAAAUACAACUUUUGAUUGGAAGAAACUUCAGGAGGCUGAUCUCUAAGCCAUCAACCUGUUAAAAAAAAUGAACAGUAUUGAAACAAGCACUGAUUCCUAGAUCCGGAAGAGAGAGUAUUCUCUAGAUAAUAGGGUUUAUAAUUUGCUGCUUAGAAUGUAAACCUUUUAAGGAAAAAGCAUUGUGACUAACCCUUACAUUAGCCAUAUAGAGAGAAUGUACACUUUGGAAAAUUUCAACUAAGAAGGAGCACGAC
rnacentral:lncRNA from 1 species